rnacentral:rRNA from 1 species
AGCAGCCGCGGUAAUUCCAGCUCCAAUAGCGUAUAUUAAAGUUGUUGCAGUUAAAAAGCUCGUAGUUGAAUUUCGGGAUCAGUACGCUGGUCGUGCCUUUGGUAUGUACUGGUGUCACUGAUUCCUCCCCUCUGAAGAACCGUUAUGCCAUUUAUUUGGUGUGGCGGGGAAUCAGGACUGUUACUUUGAAAAAAUUAGAGUGUUUAAAGCAGGCUCGCGCUUGAAUACAUUAGCAUGGAAUAAUGAAAUAGGACGUUUGAUCUUAUUUUGUUGGUUUCUAGGAUCGACGUAAUGAUUAAUAGGGAUAGUUGGGGGCAUUAGUAUUCAAUUGUCAGAGGUGAAAUUCUUGGAUUUAUUGAAGACUAACUACUGCGAAAGCAUUUGCCAAGGAUGUUUUCAUUAAUCAAGAACGAAAGUUAGGGGAUCGAAGACGAUCAGAUACCGUCGUAG